AAAAAAAGUGUCAAAAAAAUCAUUCUUUUGUAUGCAAACACGAGUUUGCUGAAAAGGCAUGUAAGUGUUGUUCAAGACUGAAGUCAGUACCAUGAAGAUCCUAAUGGCCUCAGGGUAAAGACUCCAGGUGGAUUCUCUAUGACAGAGAGGGCCUCUGUAUCUCUUGAGCAGCAACUUCCUCACCCUUUAACCUAUACUUCUGACAAUCCUUUUAAAUGCUUUUUGUAUCGUUUAGACUCCCUCACAAAUCAAGUUAUGCCAGUUCUUUUGGAUACAUAGUUAAUAACACCCCUGUCAACAUUUGGAUAGGACACUGUGUAAAUUACCUGGAUUGGCUCCAUAAGAAACGAGUAUUUUGUACAA